CAAGUCGAGCGGUAGCAGGCCUUCGGGUGCUGACGAGCGGCGAACGGGUGAGUAACGCGUAGGAAUCUGCCUGAUAGAGGGGGAUAGCCCGGGGAAACUCGGAUUAAUACCGCAUACGCCCUACGGGGGAAAGCAGGGGAUCUUCGGACCUUGCGCUAUCAGAUGAGCCUGCGUCGGAUUAGCUAGUUGGUAGGGUAAAGGCCUACCAAGGCGACGAUCCGUAACUGGUCUGAGAGGAUGAUCAGUCACACUGGAACUGAGACACGGUCCAGACUCCUACGGGAGGCAGCAGUGGGGAAUAUUGGACAAUGGGGGAAACCCUGAUCCAGCCAUGCCGCGUGUGUGAAGAAGGCCUUCGGGUUGUAAAGCACUUUAAGCAGGGAGGAAAGAGUGAUGGCUAAUAUCCAUUAUUUUUGACGCUACCUGCAGAAUAAGCACCGGCUAACUUCGUGCCAGCAGCCGCGGUAAUACGAAGGGUGCAAGCGUUAAUCGGAAUUACUGGGCGUAAAGCGCGCGUAGGCGGUUUGAUAAGUUGGAUGUGAAAGCCCCGGGCUCAACCUGGGAAUUGCAUCCAAGACUGUCAGGCUAGAGUACGGGAGAGGGGGGUAGAAUUCCACGUGUAGCGGUGAGAUGCGUAGAGAUGUGGAGGAAUACCGGUGGCGAAGGCGGCCCCCUGGAUCGAUACUGACGCUGAGGUGCGAAAGCGUGGGGAGCAAACAGGAUUAGAUACCCUGGUAGUCCACGCCGUAAACGGUGGGCGCUAGAUGUGGGGACCAUUCCAUGGUUUCUGCGUCGCAGCUAACGCAUUAAGCGCCCCGCCUGGGGAGUACGGUCGCAAGACUAAAACUCAAAGGAAUUGACGG
rnacentral:rRNA from 1 species